CUUGCUUCUCUUGAGAGCGGCGGACGGGUGAGUAAUGCCUAGGAAUCUGCCUGGUAGUGGGGGAUAACGUCCGGAAACGGACGCUAAUACCGCAUACGUCCUACGGGAGAAAGCAGGGGACCUUCGGGCCUUGCGCUAUCAGAUGAGCCUAGGUCGGAUUAGCUAGUUGGUGGGGUAAUGGCUCACCAAGGCGACGAUCCGUAACUGGUCUGAGAGGAUGAUCAGUCACACUGGAACUGAGACACGGUCCAGACUCCUACGGGAGGCAGCAGUGGGGAAUAUUGGACAAUGGGCGAAAGCCUGAUCCAGCCAUGCCGCGUGUGUGAAGAAGGUCUUCGGAUUGUAAAGCACUUUAAGUUGGGAGGAAGGGCAGUAAAUUAAUACUUUGCUGCUUUGACGUUACCGACAGAAUAAGCACCGGCUAACUCUGUGCCAGCAGCCGCGGUAAUACAGAGGGUGCAAGCGUUAAUCGGAAUUACUGGGCGUAAAGCGCGCGUAGGUGGUUCGUUAAGUUGGAUGUGAAAUCCCCGGGCUCAACCUGGGAACUGCAUUCAAAACUGACGAGCUAGAGUAUGGUAGAGGGUGGUGGAAUUUCCUGUGUAGCGGUGAAAUGCGUAGAUAUAGGAAGGAACACCAGUGGCGAAAGCGACCACCUGGACUGAUACUGACACUGA
rnacentral:rRNA from 1 species